UCGAGAAUUUUUCACAAUGGGCGCAAGCCUGAUGGAGCGACGCCGCGUGGGGGAUGAAUGGCUUCGGCCCGUAAACCCCUGUCAUUUGCGAACAAAUUGGUUUAGUUAAUAGUUGGACCAUUGAUAGUAGCGAAAGAGGAAGGGACGGCUAACUCUGUGCCAGCAGCCGCGGUAAUACAGAGGUCCCGAGCGUUGUUCGGAUUCACUGGGCGUAAAGGGUGCGUAGGUGGCAGGGUAAGUCGGAUGUGAAAUCUCCGAGCUCAACUCGGAAACUGCAUUGGAAACUACCCAGCUAGAGGGUUGGAGGGGGGACUGGAAUACUUGGUGUAGCAGUGAAAUGCGUAGAUAUCAAGUGGAACACCAGUGGCGAAGGCGAGUCCCUGGACAACUCCUGACACUGAGGCACGAAAGCUAGGGGAGCAAACAG
rnacentral:rRNA from 1 species